rnacentral:tRNA from 1 species
AGGGUUAUAGUUAAAAUAUAACAUUUGAUUUGCAUUCAAAAGAUAUUGACAAUUUCAAUUUACCUUG